UACGUAGGGUGCAAGCGUUAAUCGGAAUUACUGGGCGUAAAGCGUGCGCAGGCGGUUUUGUAAGUUUGGUGUGAAAUCUCCCGGCUCAACUGGGAGGGUGCGCCGAAUACUGAAUGACUCGAGUGCGGGAGAGGAAAGUGGAAUUCCUGGUGUAGCGGUGAAAUGCGUAGAUAUCAGGAGGAACACCGGUGGCGAAGGCGGAUCUCUGGGCCUUACCUGACGCUGAGGCGCGAAAGCUAGGGGAGCGAACAGG
rnacentral:rRNA from 1 species